CUAAUUCUCUAAAGGUAAUCUCUUCUCCUUCCUUUCUUUCCUUGUUUUAGGGUUUAAGAAAAAUUGUAAAAUUGGUGACUGCAAUUGAAAAAUUGGUGUGUUGUGUAAUUGAAAAAUUGAUCAUUUGAAGGACAAAUUUAAACGACAACAAAGGGGAAUGAUUAUUUGAUUUUGAAGUUAGAAACUUAGAAUGAUUAUUUGAAGUUUGAAUGGGAAAUGACUACUACAGUAAAAGAUUAGUAGUUGUUAUGUGAAUUGAGAU
rnacentral:lncRNA from 1 species